GCCUGGGUGGCUGAUCGGUUAAGCGUCUGACUUCAGCUCCGGUCAUGACCUCGCUGUUCGUGGGCUCGAGCCCCACAUCGGGCU
rnacentral:tRNA from 1 species